rnacentral:rRNA from 1 species
AAUAGAUACCCGGGUAGUCCACGCCGUAAACGAUGAGUGCUAAGUGUUAGAGGGUUUCCGCCCUUUAGUGCUGCAGCAAACGCAUUAAGCACUCCGCCUGGGGAGUACGGUCGCAAGACUGAAACUCAAAGGAAUUGACGGGGGCCCGCACAAGCGGUGGAGCAUGUGGUUUAAUUCGAAGCAACGCGAAGAACCUUACCAGGUCUUGACAUCCUUCGCUACUUCUAGAGAUAGAAGGUUCCCCUUCGGGGGACGGAGUGACAGGUGGUGCAUGGUUGUCGUCAGCUCGUGUCGUGAGAUGUUGGGUUAAGUCCCGCAACGAGCGCAACCCUUGACCUUAGUUGCCAGCAUUUAGUUGGGCACUCUAAGGUGACUGCCGGUGACAAACCGGAGGAAGGUGGGGAUGACGUCAAAUCAUCAUGCCCCUUAUGACCUGGGCUACACACGUGCUACAAUGGAUGGUACAAAGGGCUGCAAGACUGCGAAGUCAAGCCAAUCCCAUAAAACCAUUCUCAGUUCGGAUUGCAGGCUG